UAUAUCUUUUUCUUUUUUUCGGUAAUUAGGCAAUCCUAUAAGAAGAUGAAGAAGCAGAAUCCUGAAAUGAAUAGAUGGCGCAGCAUUUGUUGUUCUACGUCAUCACUUGUCUGCUUCGUGAUUGGUCCCUGGUUUCCUCCCGGACCGCGCGACAGUUACCACCGGUUACCGCCAUUUCAAAUUCAAACUUACCUGAGCCAGCGAUGUCAGAAUGUAAGUCUAAUCGGCGGUCUGAUAAGAAGCAAGCUUGUGGUAUGUGGGAAUUCGAUUGUCCCAAAUUUCGGGACUUUUCACAGCCUCACUCCUUAGAGGACAGUACUAGAAUAUCAGAAAAGUACUUUGACUUUUGUCACGACAUCAGCUACAUAGACACAUCUGGAAUGUCAGAAACACAGGAAAGGCAAGCUCUGAGCAUGGUUGAAAGCAGCAAAGAGAAUGCCCCCAGGCUAAUCAAGGUUCCCAAGUACAAGAAAAAAAAUAACAAGGCGCCUUCCAAGUCAUCAUGCAACAAGAAACGAGUACCAGGUAACGUGCAACCAGGUAACAGGUCACCAUUCAAAGCAAUGGCGCAGGUCAUCCACGAAUUCCAUGUGAAGACACCGAGUCGUUUCCACACGAGGUCAUCUAGGACUGAUGACCCUAGGCCUGAUGGCGUAAGGCCAAGCAUUAUUGCCCAAAACGCCACACGCCAGCAUGUGUCCCGUGCAGAGCAUCAUCGCGAAAGUCUGGCAAAAGGUCUGAAGAAGAAGCCAGACUCAGCAGAAGCCAAAGAAACUGAAAGGCCAAAGCCUCAGUGCCCUGAAACUGAAAAACUGACUGAAACUCUGUCGAAACUGAAGUGUCUGCAACAGGGCUAUUCUACUAGAGAUCAUAGAAGCAAGCAGACGUCUGCUCCGUCUCUCGUACGACUGAAGGGAUUGGGUGCUCCCACCCCAAGGGCGAGGGGUACCACGCCCGAACCUUUUUCGUUCCAGAGAAAACUUGAAGAGUCUCUGCAUAGGAAGGCCGAGUUUAUUGCACACGAGAGACGGCGAUCUCAAGAGAACCACAAAACGUUCCAUGCAAAACCAGCCCCAAGUGCAAAAAAGAAGUUUUCUCUGAAAAAAACAACCAUGCCUAUAACAAAAGUGGAGCCGUUCCACCUACUAUCGGAGGCUCGCCACCACAUUCGCAUGGAGUCCGAAAACGAAAAGCAAAGGAGACUACGCGAGUAUGAAGAGGAAUCGAAGCCGUUCAGGGCACGGACAUGUAGGUCCAUUUACCAACCUCCAUUUCAGCCGAAGCGAGAAGGAUCGCACACACAAGUAGUCCACUUUGUCCACGGCCGCUCGAUCACUCCGCUCGAUCGCUCCGCUGGUGCGGCCUGCCGAAUGCUCCCCGGCGCCCGUGAAGGCGGGAGUUCCAAUUCUGGCCAAAACCUCAAGCGACCUCAAGCGCUCGCGCGAAGAUCUCCCAGUAAACCAAAAACGUCUGUGAGACAUCCAGGGGACAUCCUAAAAGGGAUGUCUGGACGUCCAUCGGACAUCCAUAAACCUCCAGGUGCCAUGGACCGCAAAUGAUGGAUCCAUUUCUUGUCCAGUGGACAUCCAUGUGGACAUUUUCUGGAACUCCCUGGGACAAUGUUUAGACAUUUCGUACUUGAUGCAUAGGGUUCGUGCAUAGGGUAUCAGGAGGCAGUUGUGAUAGAAAUGGGAAUUAAAGCGAGAUCAUCAGAUGGUUAGUUUUGCAUGGUGUUGUGUACAAAAACUUGUCGCAUGGUCAUGAAAGAAGGAAGUUACCGAGUACCAUCGUGUUCGUCUUGGUUCCCAUUUCUACCACAUUGGUGCGUCCAGACAUGCACUGAACACCUUGGAGCUUUGGUCUUUUUUCCCUUCCUGAGGACAUUCAGCUG